AGCAAGGAAAAUGAGAAUGCUAGAAGCCCAUUCUGUUCUCCCUUGCCCAGUUCAGCACUUGGAAGAGCUAUACUGUGCGGUUCCUUACCUUUCUUGCCCCAGUAUUCUUGGGCAUGUAGUGUAGCGAACUGGACUUUCUGUAUAGAGGUACUGGUGUCACACCGGCAUGGGUCAACCUUGAUCCAGGCAACAGUGUCUUCCCAGCAUCUGCCUAACCUACUAUGGUCAUAUGUCCUGUAAACCGUGUUAAGUUUGAGUGCAAUGGCUUGAGUGCUUUGUAGAUUGCACUGUUAAAAGAUAACACACAAUUUUAGAAAUGCACUGAUAUUGUAUGAAGGUAUAUAUAUUUUAUUGUCAGAAGUUUCUUCCUUGCAGAGAUAUUUACAGGCAUUAAACACAGGUGUAAAUUUCUGAAUAAGAACUAGCCCUAAAUCUCAGUUGUAGAAAAAAAAAAUCCAUAAGGCAGAGACCCUUAAGAAUCUGAGACUUUCAGUUUUAACAAUUUGGUUUACAUUUGCAAACCAUCACAAAUGGGGCCUUUAACUAUUGCUCAGUAAAAAAAAGUGAACUGAUAAGCAUUUUAACUAGCCAGGUGUUAGUCUUAACAAUCAAACAGUGCAAGCACAUAUUGUAUUUUCUAGCCAUAAAGUAUUUCCAUUUUAUAAGCAAUGAGCAUGUGGACAGUAUGGUUCGCACAGAGAAAUCCUUGCUUAUGAAAUACCUACAGCCGCGUGAGAGAAUUCCCCGACCAAAUAUUAUAUAGUCGUCUCCUAAGUGAUACUGAUCACUUAUUGGAUGGGAGAAGAAAGUGUUGCAAACUUCCAUUCCCCCCAAUAGGUAUCGGUGCCAGUAUGAUAUGUAGUGUUUGUGGCACAGGAAUAUGUCCCUUGCGGGUAGAAAUAUGACCCAUUCCUGAUGCAAGCACACACAGGAUCAAGUUUGGAUGUUCAUGUGGGAAUCUACUUCUGCACAUCAGUUGCCCUUGCUGGAUGAUGGCAAUGAUGGCAAUGUAUGUAUGAUGAUAAAAAAGUGCUUUCAAGUCA